rnacentral:rRNA from 1 species
AUUGAACGCUGGCGGCAGGCCUAACACAUGCAAGUCGAACGGCAGCGGGGGGAAGCUUGCUUCCCCGCCGGCAAGUGGCGGACGGGUGAGUAAUGCCUGGGGAGCUGCCCAAUCGAGGGGGAUACCAGUUGGAAACGACUGCUAAUACCGCAUACGCCCUGAGGGGGAAAGGUGGGGAUCUUCGGACCUAUCGCGAUUGGAUGCACCCAGGUGAGAUUAGCUAGUUGGUGAGGUAACGGCUCACCAAGGCGACGAUCUCUAGCUGGUCUGAGAGGAUGACCAGCGACACUGGAACUGAGACACGGUCCAGACUCCGACGGGAGGCAGCAGUGGGGAAUAUUGCACAAGGGGGGAAACCCUGAUGCAGCCAUGCCGCGUGUGUGAAGAAGGCCUUCGGGUUGUAAAGCACUUUCAGUGGGGAGGAAAGGUUGGCAGCUAAUACCUGUCGGCUGUGACGUUACCCACAGAAGAAGCACCGGCUAACUCCGUGCCAGCAGCCGCGGUAAAAC